rnacentral:ncRNA from 2 species
ACCGACUGUCGUCAGAGAAGCGCCGAGUAACGGCGUGAGAGGGAACCCGGUGAGAAUCCGGGACUGUCCCGCAGCGGUAUACGGAAACGACCGCCGUCAGAGCACUGGGGAAUACCUGGGAAGCGACGGUCAGUAGGUUCGGCAGGUGCGUCCACCGUGGCGCAGGCCGAGUGCCGUGAGUCCGAAGACCUGCCCGCUGUGCCGGACACGC